UAGUAAUCGCGGAUCAGCAUGCCGCGGUGAAUACGUUCCCGGGCCUUGUACACACCGCCCGUCACACCAUGGGAGUCGGUAACACCCGAAGCCGAUAGUCUAACGAAAGAGGACGUCGUCGAAGGUGGGAUUGAUGACUGGGGUGAAGUCGUAACAAGGUAGC
rnacentral:rRNA from 1 species